rnacentral:rRNA from 1 species
GACGAACGCUGGCGGCGUGCUUAACACAUGCAAGUCGAACGAAGUGGCGAACGGGUGAGUAACGCGUAAUCAACCUGCCCUUCAGAGGGGGACACCAGUUGGAAACGACUGCUAAUACCGCAUACUGAAGGAGGGGAUUGCGUCUGAUUAGCUAGUUGGAGGGGUAACGGCCCACCAAGGCGAUGAUCAGUAGCCGGUUUGAGAGGAUGAACGGACAAAUUGGGACUGAGACACGGCCCAGAAUCCUACGGGAGGCAGCAGGGGGGAAUAUUCCGAAAUGGACGAAAGUCUGACGGAGCAACGCCGCGGGAGUGAUGACGGCCUUCGGGUUGUAAAGCUCUGUUAAUCGGGACGCGGUACCGGAAUAGAAAGCCACGGCUAACUACGUGCCAGCAGCCACGGUAAUAC